GUUGGCAGUGCUCUUUAUAAUCUGUUUAUCUUUUAUAGGAACCCAUUUUACAGAUGAGGAAAUAGAGGCCAACUUGCCUAUGGGGUAUGCCAGAGACAAUUUGAAGGACCUCCUAAGAACAAGCUAUGGCAGAAAAGCUCCAGCUCUGCUUGUUUCCAAGCAGAAAAGAAGACAGAUCACUGGAUCACUGGAAGCCCUCGGCAGCCUGCCAUGGAGAGGGGCUCUUGGGGAGAGAAGAAGCCUGUUUCAAGCCCAGAUGCUCUUAUUUACUUGUUGUCUGCCUCUUGUCAUUUCCCCUGGGCAGGGAAGCCAGGCAAAUCCAUUUCAUUUUCUGAUUAUCUGCUUUAUUGCAUUUAUAAAAUUAAAUGAGUGCUUACCUCAGCACACAGCAAGCGAACCAAGACCAAAAGGCUGAAAC
rnacentral:lncRNA from 1 species